rnacentral:tRNA from 1 species
UAAUAAAUAAUAGAAGAUAUCUAAAGAAUCCAGAUGGCGGAAUAGGUAGACGCGCUAGACUCAAAAUCCAGUGAUUUGAAAUCAUGCGGGUUCGAAUCCCGCUCUGGGUA